UGAUCCCAGCUUGCUGGGGGANUAGUGGCGAACGGGUGAGUAACACGUGAGUAACCUGCCCUUGACUCUGGGAUAAGCCUGGGAAACUGGGUCUAAUACCGGAUACGACCAUCUGGCGCAUGUCAUGGUGGUGGAAAGCUUUUGUGGUUUUGGAUGGACUCGCGGCCUAUCAGCUUGUUGGUGGGGUAAUGGCCUACCAAGGCGACGACGGGUAGCCGGCCUGAGAGGGUGACCGGCCACACUGGGACUGAGACACGGCCCAGACUCCUACGGGAGGCAGCAGUGGGGAAUAUUGCACAAUGGGCGCAAGCCUGAUGCAGCGACGCCGCGUGAGGGAAGACGGCCUUCGGGUUGUAAACCUCUUUCAGUAGGGAAGAAGCGAAAGUGACGGUACCUGCAGAAGAAGCGCCGGCUUACUACGUGCCAGCAGCCGCGGUAAUACGUAGGGCGCAAGCGUUAUUCGGAAUUAUUGGGCGUAAAGAGCUCGUAGGCGGUUUGUCGCGUCUGCUGUGAAAGACCGGGGCUCAACUCCGGUUCUGCAGUGGGUACGGGCAGACUAGAGUGCAGUAGGGGAGACUGGAAUUCCUGGUGUAGCGGUGAAAUGCGCAGAUAUCAGGAGGAACACCGAUGGCGAAGGCAGGUCUCUGGGCUGUAACUGACGCUGAGGAGCGAAAGCAUGGGGAGCGAACAGGAUUAGAUACCCUGGUAGUCCAUGCCG
rnacentral:rRNA from 1 species